AGAGUUUGAUCCUGGCUCAGAAUGAACGCUGGCGGCGUGCUUAACACAUGCAAGUCGAGCGAGGCCAGGGGGGCAACUCCCUGAGUCGAGCGGCGGACGGGUGAGUAACACGUGGGUAACCUACCCGGAAGUGGGGAAUACCUCGGGGAAACUCGAGCUAAUACCGCAUGACAUCUUUGGGACGAAAGUCCUGACGAUCAAAGCGGGGUCGCAAGAUCUCGCGCUACCGGAUGGGCCCGCGCCCGAUUAGCUAGUUGGUGAGGUAACGGCUCACCAAGGCUUCGAUCGGUAACCGGCCUGAGAGGGCGAUCGGUCACACCGGAACUGAGACACGGUCCGGACUCCUACGGGAGGCAGCAGUGGGGAAUCUUGCGCAAUGGGCGAAAGCCUGACGCAGCAACGCCGCGUGGAGGAUGAAGGCCCUUGGGUUGUAAACUCCUGUCGGCUGGGAAGAAAUCGUUCGUGGCUAAUACCCGCGGACGUUGACUGUACCAGCAAAGGAAGCCCCGGCUAACUCUGUGCCAGCAGCCGCGGUAAUACAGAGGAGGCC
rnacentral:rRNA from 1 species